AUGAAAUUGGAUGACCAUGAUAAAAUAAAAUAAAAUUGGGUAGCUAUGAUGACAUUAAACAUAAAAUUGGGUGUCCAUUUGUGGACUUAUCCCUAAAAUGUUGCUAUCUAGCUUACAAAUUGCUUUAUGGACUAUGGUCCACACAGUUGUAUGCCUUCUGCCUAUAUGAGACAGCAACAUUUUUUUUUAUUUUUUUGGGGACCCUAAACAUUACUCUUAAAUGUUGCACCACCCAACUUGAGUUUAGUCAUAGUCCAUAUAUAUUUCAAUUAAUCUUAUAAAUGCGUAAUGACAUACUUGAGUUUAGCACUUCAAUUUAUACUGCUAUGAGCUUGUUUGGCAUCACCUUUGAAAAUUCGGAAGUUGUUUUUGAGACUAAGAGCUGUUUAACAUGAAUUCUGAAUUAGAUUUAUUUAAAAGUUCUUUUAGUCAGAUAAAGUAUUUCUAGAAAAUUAUCUAAAUAUGUCCGAAAACAACUUUCGAUUUUUUAAAAGUCAUGUUAAACGGGUCUUAAAAGGCUUUUGAACAUUUUUUGACUGUUUUAUGAAGGUAUUUUUUUAGAAGAAGUUGGCCUAAUGUAAACAAGUGGAAAUCUUAUCAAAUGGACUUUAUAUUGAACCAUCAACAUUGGACUAGAUGACUACAUUUUUUUUUUUUUUGGGCAGUUUGGCUGCAUUGUGCUGCUGUUGUCUUCUGGAUGCAUGCUUUUAACGAGGAAGGACAUCUGAAGAGGGGAUUUGAUUUAAUUAAACGAGAGACAAAAUGUUAUUGGUUGCCCUUAUCAAUUUCAUGAAUGUAAAUUGUCUUAAUUCUUAUCUGCCUCUGUUUUUCAUUGCCCUUUUAAAUAAUUUGGACCAUGACUUGGAUUUGUGCUUUUGAUUUCUCCAAUACAUACAUGUUUUACAUUUGCAAUAGUCCUCUUAUCGAUUGUUAGCUAUUUGAGUAGUUACUCGAUCUCAUAUUUGAUUGCUUUCACAAUGUACUAGACACGA
rnacentral:lncRNA from 1 species